rnacentral:rRNA from 1 species
UACAGGAGGAGCCAAGCGUUGUCCGGAUUUACUGGGCGUAAAGGAGCGCGCAGGCGGUCGUUCAAGUCGCGUGUGAAAGCCCCCGGCUCAACUGGGGAGGGUCACGCGAUACUGAUCGACUCGAAGGCAGGAGAGGGAAGUGGAAUUCCGGUGUAGUGGUGAAAUGACUGUAGAUAUCGGAAGGAACACCUGUGGCGAAAGCGGCUCACUGGACCACAACUGACGCUGAUGCACGAAAGCUAGGGGAGCAAACAGG